rnacentral:rRNA from 1 species
AUACGGAGGAUCCGAGCGUUAUCCGGAUUUAUUGGGUUUAAAGGGAGCGCAGGCGGAGAUGCAAGCGUGACGUCAAAUUUCGGGGCUCAACCCCGUCUCGCGUCGCGAACUGCGUCCCUUGGUUGCGGGAAGGGGAGGCGGAACUCGUGGAGUAGCGGUGAAAUGCAUAGAUAUCACGAAGAACUCCGAUCGCGAAGGCAGCCUUCCGGCCCGUCAACGACGCUCAUGCUCGAAGGUGCGGGUAUCAAACAGGAUUAGAUACCCUGGUAGUCCGCACAGUAAACGAUGGACACCCGCGGUUUGGCCUGUAUGGCUGAGCCGCCAAGCGAAAGCGUUAAGUGUCCCACCUGGGGAGUACGCCGGCAACGGUGAAACUCAAAUGAAUUGGCGGGG